UGGGGCUGAGGUAGUAGAUUGAAUAGUUGUGUGGGGUGCAUGCCCUUCCUCUGAGAUAACUAUGCAAUCUACUGUCUUUCCUAA
rnacentral:pre_miRNA from 1 species